rnacentral:sRNA from 1 species
CAUCACCAUCAUCACCCAAUCUAGUCUUUCGGGCGAUGCACGCAUACCCGGGAGGCAGGAAACUCCCGGAGGUGAAAUCAAAGUAAAAGCAGAUUUUAAACCCUCGGGAGACUCCAAUCUCUCGAGGGUUUUUU